rnacentral:sRNA from 11 species
AGGCAUCACCCGGCCACAGCGGUGCCGAGCGCGCCGUCCGCACCCGCAUGACGACCGGUCGAGACGUGUUGUUGGCG